CUACGGGAGGCAGCAGUGAGGAAUAUUGGUCAAUGGGCGCGAGGCUGAACCAGCCAAGUAGCGUGCAGGACGACGGCCCUACGGGUUGUAAACUGCUUUUGCGGGAGGAUAAAGGACACUACGUGUAGUGUUUUGCAGGUAUCCCGUGAAUAAGGACCGGCUAAUUCCGUGCCAGCAGCCGCGGUAAU
rnacentral:rRNA from 1 species